UAUACAGAGAGAAGAGCGACACGAACAAUACUCCUAUAUGAACACACAACGAAGGCAACAACUGUAGUACGUACGUAAGUGUAGCUUAGCCUCCUCUGCACGCCAUGGCGAUGCUGAAGAAGAACACGGGCUCCCUCAGCUUCGUCGUGGCCGCCCUCAUGGUGGUCAUGGCUGCCACCCUUCUCCUCUCCUCGUGCGACGCCCGCAACACGAAGGAUAAGCCCACCGCUUUCCCGGUGCCGGCGAAGUGCUACGCGAGGUCUUUCCCGAACUGCACCGAGGAGCGGUGCAAGAUGUUCUGCAUCCAGCCGCUCCCCGGAGCCGUCUGCCUCGACAAAAAGACCUGCUGCUGCCCUGUUGCUUAAUUAUAAAUGCCGUUGAAGCGAUCGAGCUAAGAAGCAGUGAAAGAUGACAAUAAGCAAUCUUGGUACACCUCUAAAUACGUAGUCUUUAUUUGUUAACGGUGUCCCUAUUUAUGACCUGUCAACCAAAGAUUUGUGUAUUGUAUUAAUGUAUGUAUUAUAUCACCACAACAAUGUGCUCGCUAUUAGCUUUAACGAGUUCCGUAUAUCUUGAGACACAAUGAUCAUUGCAUCAGUCAUACGACAAAAUUAGAAAAGAUAGAAUAAAGAAACACAUUUAGGAUGGUGCAAGGUGCCACCCGGGGCGUUCAACAGUUUUUUCGAGGGCAGGUUGGCAAGUAGGCAAUGACGUUAAUUAGCACAAUAUCAUAAGGGCAAUCAAAUAGUACAUUUGUACCUUAAUAUAAUACAUUUUUGUAGUUUGAAUUAGACUGUAAAAACAUCUUAUAUUAAGAUACAAAGGGAGUACAAAAAGAUGUCGGGGAGAGAGAGAGAGAGGACUGCAUGUAAAAGUUGUCAUUUUUCAGUUUGAUGGUUCAUUUUUAUUUAAUGGUUGCUAACGUGGUCCCAACUGCACUAGAACUAUCAUUGUCAAUAUUAAAAAGUAUAACCUUUAGCCUCAAGGUUUGACAUGUGCUUGAAUGGUUACGAGGGUGGUUGUAACCCUAUCCACCACAUAUCAAACUCAAUGUUGACACCAUGUGUGUCUUGUUGAGGCAGAAUGUUCUUCUGAUGAGAGGGGGCAUUCCCCUCGAUAGCGAGGUGCAUGUGACGAAUUCAUCAAUCUUGAAGUUCCGUGACUCUGAUUUCCAGUAAACGGUGUGUGUGUCAGUGUGUGUGUGUGUGUGUGGUGUGGCAAUGUACACGCAUGUGCACAUUUUACACUGUACUCGGUGUUUCUAAAAUAAGGUUCCAAUUAAGAUUUGAAUACAACAUACAGGCGAGGAUUAGUUACUUCACCGGUUUCAAAAUCAUCUUAGAAUUGAUGCGCUUAUGUUUGCGUAUCAGUUGAGAAAGAAUUAUGAACAUCGAUAUCAUCAAUUGAUGCUACUACGUAUAGCAUGAAAUAUAUUUUCAUAAUAUUUAAUUCUUAUUCCCUCCGUCCCAUAAUAUAAGAACGUUUUUUAUACUAGUGUAGUGUAAAAAAAUGUUCUUAUAUUAUGAGACGGAGGGAGUAUUUUUCAUAAAACAAGAUAUUUUGGAGGAAAAAAAUGAUGGCCAUAUAUCGUAUUAAAGAAUAGGCCAAAACAAAACAUACUACUGUAUCAAUUUGCUGUAAUAAAUCAAAAUAUUCUCGUUUCUUGUAUGGUAAUCUCAAUAAUAAUUGAUUUGGUUGGCCUCCAGCAUCUCAAUAUAUAAAAUCUCCAUAUAAAGUCUCAUUAAUUUUAUUUGUACGCACUAUAGUAUCAAUUAGCCGCAGUGGUAUAGCCUGCUCAUUUAUGGCAUAUAUCUCGGCGUAAUUAUUUUUCCAUAUAUUUCCACAAGGUGUAUAAAUCGACCUCUCUAUAAAUAGCCUGACGCCAGGGUACACACCACAUCACUCAAUUCAGAUUCAGAAGAAAAACAAGAGAGAAGAAAAGAGAAUUAGGACCAGCCAUCACUCAUCCUCAUGGCGAUCUUCAAGAGGAACACCGCCGCGCUGAUCUUGGCCGCCCUCGCUGUCAUGGCCGCCGUCCUCUCCACAUGUUGCCUCGCAGACGAGGGAGAGAGAUGCU